rnacentral:rRNA from 1 species
AAGCAAAUAAAUUAAAACUUUCAACAACGGAUCUCUUGGCUCUGGCAUCGAUGAAGAACGCAGCGAAAUGCGAUAAGUAAUGUGAAUUGCAGAAUUCAGUGAAUCAUCGAAUCUUUGAACGCACAUUGCGCCCGCCAGUAUUCUGGCGGGCAUGCCU